rnacentral:rRNA from 1 species
AUUGAACGCUGGCGGCAUGCCUUACACAUGCAAGUCGAACGGUAACAGGUUAAGCUGACGAGUGGCGAACGGGUGAGUAAUAUAUCGGAACGUGCCCAGUUGUGGGGGAUAACUACUCGAAAGAGUGGCUAAUACCGCAUGAGACCUGAGGGUGAAAGCGGGGGAUCGCAAGACCUCGCGCAAUUGGAGCGGCCGAUAUCAGAUUAGCUAGUUGGCGGGGUAAAAGCCCACCAAGGCGACGAUCUGUAGCUGGUCUGAGAGGACGACCAGCCACACUGGGACUGAGACACGGCCCAGACUCCUACGGGAGGCAGCAGUGGGGAAUUUUGGACAAUGGACGAAAGUACUGAUCCA